GACGAACGCUGGCGGCGUGCUUAACACAUGCAAGUCGAACGGAAAGGCCCUGCUUUUGUGGGGUGCUCGAGUGGCGAACGGGUGAGUAACACGUGAGUAACCUGCCCUUGACUUUGGGAUAACUUCAGGAAACUGGGGCUAAUACCGGAUAGGAGCUCCUGCUGCAUGGUGGGGGUUGGAAAGUUUCGUCGGUUGGGGAUGGACUGGCGGCUGGGCAGCUUGGUGGUGGGGUAGUGGCUUACCAAGGCUCUGACGGGUAGCCGGCCCGAGAGGGGGAGGGGACACGUUGGGGCUGAGAUGCGGCCGAGUCUGCGACGGGAAGCGGCAGUGGGGAGUAUUGCACAAUGGGCGGAAGCCUGAUGCAGCAACGCGGCGUCGGGGAUGACAGCCUUCGGGUUGUAAACCAAUUUCGCCUGUGACGGAGCGUGAGGGACGGUAAUGUGUAAAGAAGCACCGGCUAACUACGUG
rnacentral:rRNA from 1 species